ensembl:lncRNA novel transcript
UCAGCCCCCCGAGCAACUGAAGCUACAGAGCUGCCUUAGUGACCAGAUGUCACAAUGUGAUACAGAGCCAGAGAGGAAGUCAUUUUUGUCCAUGAUGCAAGGAACCCAGCAUUUUGACAACCCAGAUGGAAUGUGGAGCUCCCAUGGAAGAAACGUGUCAUCUGGAGGCCUGCAUAACCACUGCAUUCUCCAGAUGGGCACUGGAAGCGCUGAGGCUUCCCACCCAGAAGGUCCACGUGGUGGACAAGGGCAAGUGACAACCAGAGCCACGACUCAAAAGAGGGUGGCUGCUUCAGGCUGAUUUCCUUUGACAGACUGGUUUAUGGACGUGUGCAAGGGCCUCUCUUUGGGAACUGUCAGAAAUGACAGGAGAGAUACAAGAAGGUCAACGUCUGGAAAUCCGACAAAAUGGGCUUAAUUCAUUGUAAUUUUGUUUGCUUUUAAAAAAUUAAAUCUCUG